GGGUGAGGUUUGGGCUCAGCGCUGGGAGGAGAUGUGUGAAGAGCUUGUGUGCUGGUGGAGAAAGGAACGUGCCAACCCUGCUGUGUCUCUCCUGCUAGUGCCCCAGAGGGACCAGACCGCAUGCUUGGCAAGCCAGCUGAGGCCAGACCAAAGGUCCAUCCAGCCCAGUACCUGUCUGCCAACAGUGGCC